GUGCUGGCUUCGGCAGCACGUAGACUAAAAUUGGACGAUACAGAGACGGUUAGCAUGGCCCCUGCGCAAGGAUGACGCGCAAAUUCAUGGAGCGUCCGUUUAUUUC
ensembl:snRNA U6 U6 spliceosomal RNA